CCUACGGGCGGCAGCAGUGAGGAAUAUUGGUCAAUGGACGCGAGUCUGAACCAGCCACGCCGCGUGAAGGAUGACUGCCCUAUGGGUUGUAAACUUCUUUUAUAAAGGCAUAAAGUGAGACACGCGUACCUUUUUGCAUGUACUUUAUGAAUAAGGAUCGGCUAACUCCGUGCCAGCAGCCGCGGUAAUACGGAGGAUUCAAGCGUUAUCCGGAUUUAUUGGGUUUAAAGGGUGCGUAGAUGGGUGGUUAAGUCAGUUGUGAAAGUUUGCGGCUCAACCUUAAAAUUGCAACUGAUACUGGCAGUCUUGAGUGCAGUUGAGGUAGGCGGAAUUCGUGGUGUAGCGGUGAAAUGCUUAGAUAUCACGAAGAACACCGAUUGCGAAGGCAGCUUACUAAACUGCCACUGACAUUGAGGCACGAAAGCGUGGGGAGCAAACAGGAUUAGAUACCCUUGUAGUC
rnacentral:rRNA from 1 species